UUUGUGGGUGUGAGAGAGGAGGAGGUAACUAAAUACCCUCCACCCUCUUUUCUUUUCUCUCUGACAUCUCGUACUUCUCAAUUUAUCAAAUGUAAUUCAUACGGGAACUGACAGGCGGUGCCUCCGUUAGGGCUCAGGGAACUCUGGGCUUAUGAGGGGCUUCAGACUGGGAGUGUAUGAGCUGACGUGGCGGAGUCCCGGGGAAACACUGGCCAACGCACAUCUGGUUAUGUAAGCAGAUGCCUCACACAUGCAUGGACAAUACUCCAUACCACAUAGAUGGGUCAAUCAAGGUGUGGAUGGAGAACCACCAGAUAAAGACCCUGUCACAGCCAGCCAAAUGACUUAAACGCCACUGAAAACUCCAGGAGAAGCCAUGAAAAAGGUUGUUGAAUUUAUGCACCAGGAGAGGCAUAAAGUCACCCAACAGUAAUGUGAAGACUGGAGGAGAGUAUGCCAAGACUCAUGAACACUCUGAUUGAAAGUUGGGGUUAUUCAGACUCAGACUCAGCUUUAUUGUCAUUCAACCACGUACAUGAUAGAACGAAAUACAGUUUCCCAGGUCUCGGUGUGUGUGACAUGAAGGAAAUAAAAUAGAAUAAAAUAUAGAAUAAUAUAGAAUAAACUAUGAUAAGUAAUAAAAAUGUAGAACAAA